GUUCUCAACUGCUGAACCAUUUCUCUAGGCUUGGGCAGAAAGUGGUCAUGGCCUCCUCUUGAGAAACUCUGGCAGCCAGGCCCCACCUGUGGACAUCCCUAACAGUCAUAAAUACCACAAAGGUCCGCUUCAGCUCCUCAACAGGAUCCUUCCCAUAUUAUGCUAAUUUUAGGUGAAAAGUCUGAACAAAAACUGUUAACCCCUAAAUGGGAAAAGCCACCAAUCCCUGAACUUCCCACAGAAACACUAGUUCUUGAGCAUGAAAAUUCACCAAUCCCCAAUCCAUGAACAGGAAAACCCACCAAUCCAUGAGCUCCACCAAGCCCGGGACUUGAAAUUCCACCAAUACUCACUCUGGAAAUCUUCACCCUAGAAAGCUCCACCCCCAAGAACCUCUAUAUAAGCACUCCACUUUGUCUAAUUCCCUGCUGCUGUGUCCUCCUUCCUGAGAGCCUAAGAAGCUACUCCUGGAUUCAUCCCUCACACCGUGGACGCUCUGAUAAAUCUUUUCUAUGAAAUGUACUGCCUUUUGUAACUCUCUCAUCAGAAGAAGAUGAGAAGCAAUGAAGAGACAAAGGGAAAAAGCAAACAGAAGUUGUAGCUGCUUGUAUUCUAAUACUAAUUAUGUUCCCCAAAAACUCUUUACAGGAGAACCUCUGCGCACAGCUUCUGAGAAACUACCCCUAGUUGGUUCUAAUGGGUAAAUAAAAGAUGCCAACGGCCAAUAGCUGUACAGACAGAGGAAGGAUUUCUAGAAUUCCUGGGCUUGGGACCAGAGAAGAGGAAGGAGAAGGGAGAUCCGCCUGGUUGGGAGAGUAUGGAGGAGAGGAGAGACACCAAACCUGAGAAGAGUUUAGGACAGAGAAAUGUGGCCACACUGUGAAGGAGCUGGAGAGUGCAGCCCAGAACGUUGCCUAGCUGUGUUCAGGGCAACCAAGAUAGAACACAGAAUUAGUAAGUAACUCGGGAUUAAGUCAUGGAGGAUAGGCAGUGGCCCAGCUAUUGUGCUGAUUAAAGCAUAUUAAAAUAUAAA